AAUAUUUAAGCAGUCUGCCUUCAUAGGCAUCGGCAAUAUUUAAGUUUUUGCAGGACGCGUGAUCUGUAUUAUUUUACAGAUGACAGUUCUU
rnacentral:snoRNA from 1 species